rnacentral:lncRNA from 1 species
UGUGUUCACUAAUUAUGCUACUACAAAUGGGCUGAUUUCAAAUAAUUUUUAGAGUAGACUGCAAAUUUUGGUACCAUUUGCAAGGUCAUCAUAGCUUGUAACCUGUAACCCUAGAUGUUCCUUUAUUAAGGAACGUUUCAGUGACUGAAGAUGAGCGUCAAGGGUAGGGAAGAGCUCCUUGUCCUCUCUUUACGUGUUUGUGUCUCAAACCCCACUAAACACCACUGAAAUGAUGGUAGGUGCAUGGGUAGACCCCCCAGUGCAGAGUCAGGAGCCAGAGAAUAGCAUCCGCUGGUACAUCAGGGAGCAGUGGCUAUUUCUCCCAUGACAUUGUCCUCCUGGGUCUCUUCUCUCAGCUUCUUACCUUUUGUUUUAAGUAGAUGAUCACGCGGAAUGUAAUUUUUGGCCAAGCUCUACACAAUCGAUGAAGUUCCCAACGUCUUGUGCCUUUCUUG